UUGAAGAUAUAUUGUAAAAUAUGUUGGAGGUAUCAGAAGUGCGAAUGCUGACAUGAGUAACGAUAAAGCAGGUGAAAAACCUGCUCGCCGAAAAACCAAGGUUUCCUGUCCAACGUUAAUCGGGGCAGGGUAAGCCGACACCUAAGGCGAGGCUGAAAAGCGUAGUCGAUGGACAACAGGUUAAUAUUCCUGUGCUUGAUUUUAUUGCGAAGGGGGGACGAAGAAGGUUAGGUUAUCCAGGUGACGGUUAUCCUGGUUUAAGUGUGUAGGUAUGAUAACUAGGAAAAUCCGGUUAUCUUUAAUCUGAGGCAUGAUGACGAAUCAUUAAGGUGAUGAAGUAACUAAUACCACGCUUCCAAGAAAAGCCUCUAAGCUUCAGAUAAAAUUAAAUCGUACCCAAAACCGACACAGGUGGUUAGGUAGAGAAUACUAAGGCGCUUGAGAGAACCCAGGUGAAGGAACUAGGCAAAAUAGUGCCGUAACUUCGGGAGAAGGCACGCUAGUUUAAGUGAAAGGAUUUUCUCCUUGAGCUAAAGCUAGUCGAAGAUACCAGCUGGCUGCAACUGUUUAUUAAAAACACAGCACUGUGCAAACACGAAAGUGGAAGUAUACGGUGUGACGCCUGCCCGGUGCCGGAAGGUUAAUCGAAGGGGUUAAAGGAAACUUGAAGCUCUGAACUGAAGCCCCGGUAAACGGCGGCCGUAACUAUAACGGUCCUAAGGUAGCGAAAUUCCUUGUCGGGUAAGUUCCGACCUGCACGAAUGGCGUAAUGAUGGCCAGGCUGUCUCCACCUGGGACUCAGUGAAAUUGAAAUUGCUGUGAAGAUGCAGUAUACCCGCGGCAAGACGGAAAGACCCCGUGAACCUUUACUAUAGCUUGACACUGAAUUCUGAAUUUUAAUGUGUAGGAUAGGUGGGAGGCUAUGAAGUUAAAACGCUAGUUUUAAUGGAGCCAAUCUUGAAAUACCACCCUUUAAAAUUUGGUGUUCUAACCUAACGCCGUUAUCCGGUGUAGAGACAGUGUCUGGUGGGUAGUUUGACUGGGGCGGUCUCCUCCCAAAGAGUAACGGAGGAGUACGAAGAUUGGCUAAUCACGGUCGGACAUCGUGAGUUUAGUGCAAAGGCAUAAGCCAGUUUGACUGUGAGCAUGAUAAUGCGAGCAGGUGCGAAAGCAGGUCUUAGUGAUCCGGUGGUUCUGUAUGGAAGGGCCAUCGCUCAACAGAUAAAAGGUACUCCGGGGAUAACAGGCUGAUACCGCCCAAGAGUUCAUAUCGACGGCGGUGUUUGGCACCUCGAUGUCGGCUCAUCACAUCCUGGGGCUGAAGCAGGUCCCAAGGGUAUGGCUGUUCGCCAUUUAAAGUGGUACGCGAGCUGGGUUUAGAACGUCGUGAGACAGUUCGGUCCCUAUCUGCCGUGGGCGCUGGAAGAUUGAGGGGGGCUGCUUCUAGUACGAGAGGACCGAAGUGGACGCAUCACUGGUGUUCGGGUUGUCAUGCCAAUGGCAUUGCCCGGUAGCUACAUGCGGAAAAGAUAAGUGCUGAACGCAUAUAAGCACGAAACUUGCCUCAAGAUGAAUCUUCCCUGAAACAGAAAUGUUUACUGAAGGGACGUUGA
rnacentral:rRNA from 1 species